UAGGGAAUCUUCCACAAUGGACGCAAGUCUGAUGGAGCAACGCCGCGUGAGUGAAGAAGGCUUUCGGGUCGUAAAACUCUGUUAUUGAAGAAGAACGUGUGUGACAGUAACUGGUCAUGCAGUGACGGUAUUCAAUCAGAAAGUCACGGCUAACUACGUGCCAGCAGCCGCGGUAAUACGUAGGUGGCAAGCGUUGUCCGGAUUUAUUGGGCGUAAAGCGAGUGCAGGCGGUCUUUUAAGUCUGAUGUGAAAGCCUUCGGCUUAACCGAAGAAGGGCAUCGGAAACUGGGAGACUUGAGUGCAGAAGAGGAGAGUGGAACUCCAUGUGUAGCGGUGAAAUGCGUAGAUAUAUGGAAGAACACCAGUGGCGAAGGCGGCUCUCUGGUCUGUAACUGACGCUGAGGCUCGAAAGCGUGGGUAGCAAACAGGA
rnacentral:rRNA from 1 species